CUAGUAAAUGGCUUUAAAUGUAUUGCUUGGUUAUCAACGUCAUAUUGUGACUCACCAAAGUGUAUGAAGGGUUCGCCCACUUCCUUUAGUGUUAGCAGUAGUUGAUUUGCUAUGCCCACCUGCAGUUUCGGCUGCAACUAAGUUAUGCAAAUAACUUGAACUUUAGUCUCAAAUCAGGUAGGAAGACCCGCUGAACUUAA
rnacentral:misc_RNA from 1 species